rnacentral:lncRNA from 1 species
CGGGUGGUCAAUAUAAAAGGUAGUUGACGAUUCAAGAGAUUGAUUCAGAAUGACAUGUUGUUCUGCAGGCUCCUAUUUAUGUCUUUUGGCACUUACUAUGACGUUAGAGUAAACAUCUAAUCGUCCAAUCAAAAGCAACGUUUCUUACGUCUUUUGGCUUGAAACGUUCAAGACGACAAUCAGAUUUCGUUAUUCUUAAAUAAAGAAACAAUAUUAAGUUGUCCUCACUUUGUCCUUCUUGUCCGAAUUAUGUUUAAAAGCAAAUAAAACUAAAAGGACAUUUCUAC